GACGUAGGGUGCAAGCGUUGUCCGGAAUUAUUGGGCGUAAAGAGUUCGUAGGCGGUUACUUAAGUCUGGUGUUAAAGCCCGAAGCUCAACUUCGGCAUGGCAUUGGAAACUGGGUGGCUAGAGUGCGGUAGAGGACACGGGAAUUCCAGGUGUAGCGGUGAAAUGCGUAGAUAUCUGGAGGAACACCGGUGGCGAAAGCGCGUGUCUGGGCCGUAACUGACGCUGAGGAACGAAAGCCAGGGUAGCCAAAGGG
rnacentral:misc_RNA from 1 species